rnacentral:rRNA from 1 species
AAUAGAUACCCAGGUAGUCCACGCCGUAAACGGUGGGCACUAGGUGUGGGCAACAUUCCACGUUGUCCGUGCCGCAGCUAACGCAUUAAGUGCCCCGCCUGGGGAGUACGGCCGCAAGGCUAAAACUCAAAGGAAUUGACGGGGGGCCCGCACAAGCGGCGGAGCAUGUGGCUUAAUUCGACGCAACGCGAAGAACCUUACCAAGGCUUGACAUACACCGGAAAGCAUCAGAGAUGGUGCCCCCCUUGUGGUCGGUGUACAGGUGGUGCAUGGCUGUCGUCAGCUCGUGUCGUGAGAUGUUGGGUUAAGUCCCGCAACGAGCGCAACCCUUGUCCCGUGUUGCCAGCAGGCCCUUGUGGUGCUGGGGACUCACGGGAGACCGCCGGGGUCAACUCGGAGGAAGGUGGGGACGACGUCAAGUCAUCAUGCCCCUUAUGUCUUGGGCUGCACACGUGCUACAAUGGCCGGUACAAUGAGCUGCGAUACCGCAAGGUGGAGCGAAUCUACAAAAAGCCGGUCUCAGUUCGGAGUUGGGGUCG